ACUAAGGGUUAAGAAAAUCAAGUUGCAUGGUUGGUUUAGUUCUAUGAUGCAGACUCUUCUCAAGUUGUGGGAACAUGGCUGUACAUUUUAUAAUAUGAUCCCCAACAGUUUUUAUAAUUUAUUUAACAAUAAUUAUCAGUAAUGAUGACUAAAUAAUGUCCUUCUUUGAUGCAAUAAUGCAUUAUUAUAAAUACCUGCCAGGAGGGGAUCUGAACAAUUUUCCCCAAAGUCAAACAAACCUUGCCUCGCAAGGCCUGCAUGUGUUGGGCUGUUGGGUGUAAUAUUCUCCUAUCUAUUGAGUUUCUUUUAUUCGGAUACAUCGUCUAACUAUCCCCAAAAGAAAUAAUAUGAUAUCUGAAUAAUUUAGUUAAAGAAGAUUGUAUGAAGAACCUAUUUCUUUCUAUACAUUUAAAGUUGACAAAUUGUGAGCCUUUAAGAGGUUCAGUGGAGUGACAGGAGUUAUGUAAGACCUGACAAUAUCUAUAUAUGUAGAAUACGGCUCCAGGCAUCACCAGGGCUGCGUUCCGUUGGGGACGGUAAGGCUUACAAUAUGGCAUACUUCCCCCGAAUUGGGGGGACCAGCAUACUACUCGCCUUGCGGGACCGAGCGGGACCUUGCGCUCCUCGGAGGUGAAUGCUUGGCGGUGUCUGGCAACCAUUGUUUAUAAACAAACCGCAGAUGGCCGCCGCUUCACCACUCCACUAUAUUUUCAGUGUGGGGGAUGUAAAUACUAUUUUGACAGCUUAUGCGACGUCACAGAACAUCAAAAACAAUGUGCCUCUGAGGCAGAAGAGACAGCCUCUACCGCCAUGGUAGCUGCUGCAGAGGCCCCUCCAGCACCUGUGGCUGCAGGGACAGUUUCCCUUUGCAUUCGAAAGUGUUUCUUGAAGUCUUUCCCGGAGUAAAGAGGCACUAUA